rnacentral:lncRNA from 1 species
UUCCACAUUCAAAAGCUAUUGAUUUGGCUGUAAACACAUUGUCCCCAGUAAUCAUUUUGAUGCUAACACCAGCAGCCCUGCAAGAUUCUACUGCUUCUUUUACACCUGGCCUACAUGGGUCCUUUAGACCCACCAGACCCAGUAAGGUUAGUUUAGAUUCUUCAAGAAUUUGACUUUCUGCAUUGCUUUCUUUGUAAGCAAAUGCAAUACAUCGCAAGCUCUUGCUUGCCAUAUAUUUAAUUUUCAAUUCAAGUUCUUCUCUUUCUUCAUGAUCUAUAGGUGCAACUAAUCCACUUUUGACGUAAUAAGUGGAGCACAUAGCUAGAAUCAUCUCAGCAGCACCUUUCCAAUGUGUGUGAACUUUUCCCGUACUAGUUUUUGUUACCAGUACCCCACUUCUCUUCUUUUGUGAAUUGAAAACUUCAACAUGAAGGAUUUGAUACUCUUGCUUUAUUUCAUUAAAGUUCACUAGUAAACUGGUCAUGGCCCAUGAUAGAAUUGCUUUCUCAGUUGGGCUUCCACAGAUCUCUGGAGGACCAGAAGGUGUUGUGUAAACAUCACCAGUAGUAUUCAAGCCAGCAGCCUCUUGUAGCAAUUCAAGAACUUCAGGUGCUAUUUGUGAUGUCAUCAUAAUUAUUUCUGUACCUAACAAAAACUCAGUUACCUGCAAAGAUGAAUUCAUAAUUUAAAUGUAAUGAGUUCUAUGUUCAUGUUCUUACUGUUAAAUUCCUUGCAAUUUCAAAUUAUUAGUUUAGAAUUUAAUAUUUGUUGAAAGUUUACUAAUUUUCAACAUAUAUUUAUGCUUCGUAGUGAAACUAGCGGGUUCAUUGAACCAAUUAAACAAGGGUGCAUUCACCUCAAGUUACGUACCUGCAUCUGGUUUAAGGUGAGAGUGCCAGUUUUGUCUGUGCAGAUUGUGGUUGCUGAGCCCAUAGUCUCACAGGCAGAUAGCUUGCGGACCAUCGCAUGAUCGAGCAUCAUUCUUCUCAUAGAGUAUGCCAAUGUUAGGGUGACGGCCAAUGGCAAACCUUCUGGGAUUGCAACCACUAUGAUGGUUACUGCUGCUGCAAUUAUACGAAUCAA